rnacentral:rRNA from 1 species
GACAGAGGGUGCAAACGUUGUUCGGAAUUACUGGGCGUAAAGCGUGUGUAGGCGGCUACGCAAGUCGGAUGUGAAAGCCCCGGGCUCAACCCGGGAAGUGCACCCGAAACUGCGUGGCUCGAGUACCGGAGAGGUUGGUGGAAUUCUCGGUGUAGAGGUGAAAUUCGUAGAUAUCGAGAGGAACACCGGUGGCGAGGGCGGCCAACUGGACGAGUACUGACGCUGAGACACGAAAGCGUGGGGAGCAAACAGG